rnacentral:tRNA from 1 species
GAAUUACUAGUGCAGUAGAUAGCACGUUCGGCUAGCAAUCGUGAGGUCUCGUGUUCGAAUCACGGGGAAAACA